UACGUAGGGUGCAAGCGUUAAUCGGAAUUACUGGGCGUAAAGCGUGCGCAGGCGGUUUUGUAAGUCUGUCGUGAAAUCCCCGGGCUCAACCUGGGAAUUGCGAUGGAGACUGCAAGGCUAGAAUCUGGCAGAGGGGGGGUAGAAUUCCACGUGUAGCAGUGAAAUGCGUAGAGAUGUGGAGGAACACCGAUGGCGAAGGCAGCCCCCUGGGUCAAGAUUGACGCUCAUGCACGAAAGCGUGGGGGAGCAAACAGG
rnacentral:rRNA from 1 species